rnacentral:lncRNA from 1 species
GCGCUGGGGCCCCUGGUUUCUCCGGCCAGCACGGUCAGAUGCCAUAACGCUUGUCUGUGGGAUCUUGGGCAAGUCCCUCUGAACUUGCUUCCCUUUUCUGCCAAAUCAAAGCCUUGUGGGCGGUCACAUCCCCCAGCAUCCCGGGCCCCCCAACUGGAGCGUCCAAAGGCUGGAAAUUCCUGGCCCCGGAGACACCAAGGCCGCACACGCACCUGCACAGAUCAUGCGGAGUGAUGGGGCCCAGGAGGGCUGAGCCCCUGGCCCGGACCCCGGCUGCCCCCUUCAGCCGGACCCCUCCUCCCGGGGAGGAGCUGCCGGACACAGAUAAAGGCCGGCGAGCAAAGGUCAACGCGGGGACCGCCGGCUGGGCUCCUGCUCUACGGGACAGCGGCCGCAGAAAGGAGACCACACAACCUCAGGUCUGAGCCGGGCAGUGCCUCGUACCCAGCAGGUGCCU